UACGUAGGUGGCAAGCGUUGUCCGGAUUUACUGGGCGUAAAGAGCGCGCAGGCGGUCGUUCAAGUCGCGUGUGAAAGCCCCCAGCUCAACUGGGGAGGGUCACGCGAUACUGAUCGACUCGAAGGCAGGAGAGGGUAGUGGAAUUCCCGGUGUAGUGGUGAAAUGCGUAGAUAUCGGGAGGAACACCAGUGGCGAAGGCGACUACCUGGCCUGUUUCUUGACGCUGAGGCGCGAAAGCUAGGGGAGCAAACGGGG
rnacentral:rRNA from 1 species